AUGCUUUUAAAUAAAAGCAUAUAUAUUAAAAUUGGAACUAUACAGAGAAGAUUAGCAUAGCACCAGUGCAUGCAUGACAUGAAAAUUCAUGAAGCCUUCCGUAUUUUU
ensembl:snRNA U6 U6 spliceosomal RNA